rnacentral:rRNA from 1 species
UACGGGGGGGGCAAGCGUUGUUCGGAAUUACUGGGCGUAAAGGGCUCGUAGGCGGCCAACUAAGUCAGACGUGAAAUCCCUCGGCUUAACCGGGGAACUGCGCUUGAUACUGGAUGGCUUGAGAUUGGGAGAGGGAUGCGGAAUUCCAGGUGUAGCGGUGAAAUGCGUAGAUAUCUGGAGGAACACCGGUGGCGAAGGCGGCAUCCUGGACCGACACUGACGCUGAGGAGCGAAAGCCAGGGGAGCAAACGGG